GAUGAACGCUGGCGGCGUGCUUAACACAUGCAAGUCGAACGGAAAGGCCCAAGCUUGCUUGGGUACUCGAGUGGCGAACGGGUGAGUAACACGUGGGUGAUCUGCCCUGCACUUCGGGAUAAGCCUGGGAAACUGGGUCUAAUACCGGAUAGGACGAUGGUUUGGAUGCCAUUGUGGAAAGUUUUUUCGGUGUGGGAUGAGCUCGCGGCCUAUCAGCUUGUUGGUGGGGUAAUGGCCUACCAAGGCGUCGACGGGUAGCCGGCCUGAGAGGGUGUACGGCCACAUUGGGACUGAGAUACGGCCCAGACUCCUACGGGAGGCAGCAGUGGGGAAUAUUGCACAAUGGGCGCAAGCCUGAUGCAGCGACGCCGCGUGGGGGAUGACGGCCUUCGGGUUGUAAACUCCCUUCGCUAGGGACGAAGCGUUUUUGUGACGGUACCUGGAGAAGAGGCACCGGCUAACUACGUG
rnacentral:rRNA from 1 species